rnacentral:lncRNA from 1 species
CAAUAUAAAGAAUGCGUGGAGCUUCUGAAAAAAAAAUUGCAUUCAAAGGUUAAAAUCAUUUUAUGCAGCUACCUCGACAACUCCGGGAUAAAUCUAGAAAUAGCAAACAGCUCGACUAAGCUCCCGAUGCUCCUGAAUCUGCACACAUGGUGCAGGGAGUAAAAUCUAGACACUCACAAAAUCUCAGUACCAAUUAGUUAGGUGAAUUUAUCAGUUAAUAAGAGACACAAUCCGAAAGUAAAUAGAAAACAACACAGAAACCCGAAUAAUUGUCAAACAACUCCCAAAAGAUCUGGGGUCACGAGUUUAGAGCCUCUAAAUAUAACCGAGUAAUAAAUCCUCAAAAUAAAUAAGUCUGGGAUGCAGAGAUAUAAGAUGGAUAAGGGGAGACAACUCCGAAGCAACUCUGGGAGAAAGCAAAUCGCUCAACUAAGCUCCCGAUGCACCUGAAUCUGCACGCAUGGUGCAGGGAGUAAAGUGAGUACUUCCAACUCAGUGGUAAUAGACAUAUAUAAUGGCUGAAAGUAAGAAAUCUCGAAAAUACCACAAUGUAAAGCUCAAACUAAUAAUUUGGCAUAAUUAACGGUGAAAUAGCAACAUAACAUAAUCAGAUAACAACAAAGCAUGAAUGUAAUGCAAUGCACAUGGCCGGUGCGGUGUACAGCCCGAUCCAUUUGGGUACCCGCGCUCACUGUGGAGGUUCAGACUCUGAAGGGGCUCCUACAGCCCAAGCGCAAUAUCAUCGUGACAUCGCUGCGCCGUGUAAUCCGAUCCACACCUAGUCCAGAAUAUGCAUGUGAGUUAUACAGCAAAGUCAGAUUUUAGUUCUCAUUUCCAAUUAUUAGGAAAACUAUCGUUUAAGUCUUUAAAACCUUUGGAAGGUGACUAAGUAUUUCGAAUCAGUGUUUAAAACUCAUGAUUGGGGUCAUAUAGCAUGCUGAAUAUCAUGGAAGCAGUGAUAAUAAUCCCCAAGGGAUUCAAAUAGUCGGCACACAGCCAAAAUAUAUCAUGACCAUCCAAGAAGGAUGUUUACCAAUCAAUCUAUAGUCCAAAGCACAGCUUGGACACCAUUCUGGGCGGACUAAACCAUAA